CAAUAAGCGGAGGAAAAGAAACCAACAGGGAUUGCCUCAGUAACGGCGAGUGAAGCGGCAAAAGCUCAAAUUUGAAAUCUGGCACCGUUAGGUGUCCGAGUUGUAAUUUGGAGAGGAUACUUCGGGUGUGGCUACGGCGUAAGUCCCUUGGAACAGGGCGUCAUAGAGGGUGAGAAUCCCGUCUUAAGUCGUUUGUCCAUGCCCAUGCGAAGUUCCUUCGACGAGUCGAGUUGUUUGGGAAUGCAGCUCUAAGUGGGUGGUAAAUUUCAUCUAAAGCUAAAUAUUGGCCGGAGACCGAUAGCGAACAAGUAGAGUGAUCGAAAGGUUAAAAGCACCUUGAAAAGGGAGUUAAAUAGCACGUGAAAUUGUUGAAAGGGAAGCGCUUGCAACCAGACUCGGUCAUAGGGGCUCAGCGAGCAUGCGUGCUCGUGUACUCCCCUGUGUUCGGGCCAGCAUCAGUUCUGGCGGUUGGUUAAAGGCCCUUGGAAUGUAUCAUCCUCCGGGAUGUCUUAUAGCCAAGGGUGUAAUGCAGCCAGCCGGGACUGAGGAACGCGCUUCGGCACGGAUGCUGGCGUAAUGGUUGUAAGCGGCCCGUCUUGAAACAC
rnacentral:rRNA from 1 species